UAGAGAAAAUUGCAACUUUUGGCCCAAAGGUUUGAAUAAUUAAAUUCAAACCUAUAGUUUUUUUUAUAUAAUUUUGGGACUCACAAUCCCAUUUUUAUAUUAUUUUUCUCUCUUCCUCUCACGUUGCUCGGCGUUUUCUCACAAGGGGGGAUUAUUUUCUUUUUCUUCAGAUUAUAUUGACAAAGAUAGUGGUGAAAAAGGAGUUGUGAAGGGGAACUUGUUAUUCAAGACACAAGGAGCGAGUCCGGCCGAGAAAGCACCAGAGGUGUAACUAUGGUGUAUGAGACACCAUCUUUUACGUUGCCUCUUAUUUUGGAUUAUACAAUGUAUCUUGUGCCAACUUAGGACAUAUCUUCUUUGUGAAGCAUGUAAACUCUAAUCCUUUUUAUUAAAAGUAUUUAUAUGACCAAGAGGAUUAUAUCUGUC